UAGGGAAUCUUCCGCAAUGGACGCAAGUCUGACGGAGCAACGCCGCGUGAGUGAAGAAGGAUUUCGGUUCGUAAAACUCUGUUGUUAGAGAAGAACAGCGCAUAGAGUAACUGUUAUGCGUGUGACGGUAUCUAACCAGAAAGCCACGGCUAACUACGUGCCAGCAGCCGCGGUAAUACGUAGGUCCCGAGCGUUGUCCGGAUUUAUUGGGCGUAAAGCGAGCGCAGGCGGUCAAUUAAGUCUGAUGUGAAAGCCCCCGGCUCAACCGGGGAGGGUCAUUGGAAACUGGUUGACUUGAGUGCAGAAGAGGAGAGUGGAAUUCCAUGUGUAGCGGUGAAAUGCGUAGAUAUAUGGAGGAACACCAGUGGAGAAGGCGACUCUCUGGUCUGUAACUGACGCUGAGGCUCGAAAGCGUGGGUAGCAAACAGG
rnacentral:rRNA from 1 species